UCUACAACUUGCAACAUCUGAAUCUCUUUCUUGUUUGAUAUUUUGAUCAAACCACCGACGACUUAGACUUACUUCUUCAAAUUCAUGUUCAAGAAUUUCUGGGGCUCUCAGGAGCCGCAACCUCAGGCUCGUCCCCAGGAAAUGUCGACAGACUCAUGGUAUCCAUCUUCCGUCAUUAGUUCAUCCAGCUCCUCACGUCCUUACAACGCCUGGAUCCAGUACCUCUAGCAGCUUUGGCGUAUCGAGACCGACUGACCGGCCAAAUUCUUGGUCAAACGUUUCACCUGCAGCAUCAUUGCUAUGCUAAAAGAUAAGAGGUGACCACUAGUUUUCUAUUUAUUUUCAUAAUAUGUUCUAGGUCCCUAGUUGUGACCUUAACCCUUACGAUGACUUUGAAGGAGCAUCCUAUUUUUGAUGGAAGAUAUUAUGUUGCUUUUCGAAUUUGGCACGUGUAUGAGCUACUUGCAUACAAAUGUAACUCUAAUAUACAAAUGUUAAUGAAUGCUUUAAAUUUAUAGCC